UACGUAGGGUGCAAGCGUUAAUCGGAAUUACUGGGCGUAAAGCGUGCGCAGGCGGUUUUGUAAGUCUGUCGUGAAAUCCCCGGGCUCAACCUGGGAAUUGCGUUGGAGACUGCAAGGCUAGAAUCUGGCAGAGGGGGGUAGAAUUCCACGUGUAGCAGUGAAAUGCGUAGAGAUGUGGAGGAACACCGAUGGCGAAGGCAGCCCCCUGGGUCAAGAUUGACGCUCAUGCACGAAAGGCGUGGGGAGCAAACGAGG
rnacentral:rRNA from 1 species